rnacentral:rRNA from 1 species
CCUACGGGCGGCAGCAGUGGGGAAUAUUGCACAAUGGGGGAAACCCUGAUGCAGCGACGCCGCGUGAGUGAAGAAGCGUUUCGGCGCGUAAAGCUCUAUCAGCAGGGAAGAAAAUGACGGUACCUGAUUAAGAAGCCCCGGCUAACUACGUGCCAGCAGCCGCGGUAAUACGUAGGGGGCAAGCGUUAUCCGGAUUUCCUGGGUGUAAAGGGCGCGUAGACGGCAGGACAAGUCUGGAGGGAAAUGCCGGGGCUUAACCCCGGAACUGCAUUGGAAACGGUGCAGCUAGAGUGCAGGAGAGGUAAGUGGAAUUCGUAGUGUAGCGGUGAAAGGCAUAGAUAUUAGGAGGAACACCAGUGGCGAAGGCGGCUUGCUGGACUGUAACUGACGUUGAGGCUCGAAAGCGUGGGGAGCAAACAGGAUUAGAUACCCGGGUAGUC